rnacentral:rRNA from 1 species
UUUGAUCCUGGCUCAGGAUGAACGCUGGCGGUCUGCUUAACACAUGCAAGUCGAACGGGCUCUUCGGAGCUAGUGGCGGACGGGUGAGUAACGCGUGAGAAUCUGCCUCCAGGACGGGGACAACAGAGGGAAACCUCUGCUAAUCCCGGAUGAGCCGAAAGGUAAAACGAUUUAUCGCCUGGAGAUGAGCUCGCGUCUGAUUAGCUAGUUGGCGGGGUAAAAGCCCACCAAGGCGACGAUCAGUAGCUGGUCUGAGAGGACGAUCAGCCACACUGGGACUGAGACACGGCCCAGACUCCUACGGGAGGCAGCAGUGGGGAAUUUUCCGCAAUGGGCGAAAGCCUGACGGAGCAAGACCGCGUGGGGGAGGAAGGCUCUUGGGUUGUAAACCCCUUUUCUCAAGGAAGAAGUUCUGACGG